AUUGAACGCUGGCGGCAUGCCUUACACAUGCAAGUCGAACGGCAGCACGGGAGCAAUCCUGGUGGCGAGUGGCGAACGGGUGAGUAAAGUAUCGGAACGUGCCCAGUCGUGGGGGAUAACGUAGCGAAAGUUACGCUAAUACCGCAUACGAUCUAGGGCUGAAAGCGGGGAAUCGCAAGACCUCGCGCGAUUGGAGCGGCAGAUAUCAGAUUAGGUAGUUGGUGGGGUAAAGGCUCACCAAGCCGACGAUCUGUAGCUGGUCUGAGAGGACGACCAGCCACACUGGGACUGAGACACGGCCCAGACUCCUACGGGAGGCAGCAGUGGGGAAUUUUGGACAAUGGGCGCAAGCCUGAUCCAGCCAUGCCGCGUACAGGAUGAAGGCCUUCGGGUUGUAAACUGCUUUUGUACGGAACGAAAAGGUUUGGCCUAAUACGCUGAACUCAUGACGGUACCGUAAGAAUAAGCACCGGCUAACUACUUGCCAGCCGCCGCCGUAA
rnacentral:rRNA from 1 species